AAUGACGCCUGACCCUGACAUGGUCUGGGAACACGACACUGCCAAGCUCAUGCCCGCAAGCUGGUCACCUAUUGGGGUCAUGUAUCUCAGAUGACUACACGAGAAUGCUGUACUACAUGAGAACUACAAAUGUUGCAUGUUUUGCGUUGUAUGCCACAUAAAAUCUGUAAUGGAUAUCGCAAAGAAGUGUUUGAUGGUUGGCCAUUGAUUCCUAUUCAUAAAAACAGGCUGCUGGCUAUGCUAAUGUUUAUGCCAGGUCUAGUACGUUGACGCAUUUGACUGUAAUGAACGAUGUUAGCGAAACUAUUGCUUUUGAGAUCUCACUCAUUCUGACGGUAAUGUGUCUCACU
rnacentral:lncRNA from 1 species